AUUUAUUUAGGAGAAAAAUUCUCGUUUUGAGAAACCAUCGAAGGAAACCUUGUGACCAGGUGUCUUCUAGGUUAGGCCCCUGACUCUAUUGUUGCUGUGGCUUUUUCCUUUUCCAUUACCUUUCAGCAAGACUUUUGGCCAGUGGACAACCUUGAGGCAAGUCCCACUUCGAACCAAGCUAGGGUCACUUCUCUCUCUUAUUAGGGGAUAUCAAGCAGGAGCCAAAGCAUUAGAACUGUCCCGAGUUAGUGAUUUCAAUUAAAACGGAACACAACGUGGCCGGGGAAAACUCUGGAAAUACUUUACCUCAGUUUAGGCAGUGAUUUAGACCCUCCCAGGUCUGUGUCCCCAACCCUGACCUUCCCGUAAAAAGUGAAGAAAUGAAGCUGAGCUUUAGCUGUCCGUCUCCACCCCAAGCAAAGACUGACCGGUCUCUUAAAGAAAGCUUGUCCCGAGUUCCGAGCGUCAUAAUGCCACCCGCCGUCACAGAGAAGGAGUGCCAGAGAAGAGCGGUGGUCCGUCAGCAGUGGUCUCUGAGUGGAGGAAGACAUAAGAAAGUCCGCGCAUACCAAACCUACAUUAUUUGGAAUGGUAUUAGUAAUCCUGGUCGAAGCGAAAGAUGGCGGUCUCCGGACGAAAGGCCAAUUGCUCAUCGAAUGUUCUCGUCCUGAUUAUUUGAAGAAACGAACGAGUCGGUGUGAAUCCGAAGCACUGAAAAUGCAAGUUAUCGUUGCCUCUUCUUCAGCAGACCUUUUGACGUGGCCUCGAGCCAGUUCAGAACCCACAAAAAUUGGCUGGUCCAGGUGGCCGCAGGAGGGCUGCAGCUCAGGUCAGGAGGGGAGAGGCAUUUCCCUCCCACCUGUCAGGCUGAGUGAGUCCUCUGCUCCUUUCCUGGCACCCUCCCCGCCCCCUUCACAUUGAGGCGAAGCAGUGGAUGUCUGAAUACGGUCAAGAAUUCGCUUGCUCUUUCAGUCGGGAGGACGUCCCUCCAUCCGGCGGGUGGAUGGCGGAUUUAUUUUUCUUUCCACUGAGCUGGGCGUCUGCAUGCCCAAUUAUUCUAAUUUUCAUUUAUCCACAGGAUCCCCCGGUGGUGCCAUUGUGACUCUCUGCGUUCUUCCCACCAUUUGUAGGUGCCUGAAUUCAAACGCAGCCACAGAGCAGACUGGUGGGGAUGGGGGGGAGACCGCUGGGGUCACAUCAGCCCCUUCGGCCACACCCGAGGAAUAAAAUUCUCCGCCCGGAGACUCGUCCGAGAACGUGAA